AAGUCGUAACAAGGUUUCCGUAGGGUAUGUGUUAUCUCUCUUCUUAACUAUUUUUUACUUAUAACUAACAUUUUUCCAGUGAACCUGCGGAAGGAUCAUUACAGAGCUAGGGUCUUCUAGGCCCGACCUCCCACCCUAUGUUUAUUUGACUUAUUCGUUGCUUCGGCGGGCCCGUCCCAGGACCGCCGGAGGGCUGUAACUAGUCCUCUGGCCCGCGCCCGCCGGUGGCCUCGUUAAACUCUUGAAUCAAUCAUGAAUUGUCUGAGUAAAAAUUUUAAUGAAAACAAAACUUUCAACAACGGAUCUCUUGGUUCUG
rnacentral:misc_RNA from 1 species